GCCCGAAUGGCGAAAUCGGUAGACGCAGGGGACUUAAAAUCCCCCGCCAAAUUGGCAUGCUGGUUCAACUCCAGCUUCGGGUA
rnacentral:tRNA from 1 species